GACAGCAUAUAUAUAUAAAAGUUCUGCAGCAGGAAUAAGCUCGGUACAAGAGAGGAACAGCAGAUGGACCAGUGAGGCUAGAGGGGUGUGAACAAAGGGAUGCCAGUAGAAGAUGAGGACCCCAGAGAGAGAGAAAGGCAGGGCCAGAUCUCGUGGACUUUGAAGGACAUGGUGACAAUGCGGUCGUUUCACUCUGCCUUGAGAUGCUCUUUGAACAGUGAGCCCAAUAAGGAUCAAAGAAAUGAGCCUGGAAAGGAUAUGAAGAACGAAUCCUCAGAAGAAAACCUGAAAAUCUGUCGCCAGCACUGGCCCAGGACAGAAUUGUGAAAUUUGAAAAUAACCCCUGCGCUCCUUCCCUAUGCUCUGUCCUGGAUUGGACCUUUGCUACAGACCAUUUAGACGAGUUUGUGUUUAUAGGAGGAAGAGGUUUACAAGGAAGGGAAUUUCAAUGGAGACCUAAAGAUAAGUAGGAUCUCACGAAGAGUAUGGGGAAAAGGACUCCAGACCGAGAAAAUUGCGAGAGGCUUGGGGCAUUCAAGGACAGGACAAGAGGCAACACGGCUGGGGAACAGCAAGCUCACUUCAGACUCCCGCCAUAUUGCUGCGUGGGGUAACUGCACAGGCAGCCUGUGCCUGUAGCUCAAACAUGGUACUGGGCGGACAGACAGCAGGAGAACGGAGGAAACCCUUGGGUCCUGAAGUAUGCAUCCUCUCUGACUGCUGAGGAGAGGCUAGGUCUCAGUGUGCAUGGUGUGCUGUGGUGUGGUGUGGUGACCCUUGAUGGUUUGGGGCAACAAUGUGAGCCUUUUGGGUGGCUAUGAGUGAAGCCAGCAGUGUCAGCAUACACAGUCAUUUCCUGUCAGAGGUCAUUCUCCUGUUCUCAUCGGUCCCUCCAUCCCCCUCUCGCCAACCUUCCUGUUAACGAGGUGAACCUAUGCAUUACGGUCCUACCACCCUAUUCUUUAGGGUCCGACAGUCUUGGCCGGGUAUCUUACUGUCUCCUUAGCAGCCUGACCCAAGAAUGGGUUGCUCUCCCCACAAACCUGUAAACACUC